rnacentral:rRNA from 1 species
ACUCAUGACCACAAUAUUUCUCUUGAUACCCUUUUUAAGGAAAAAUGAAAUUGGAGAUUAUCUUUAUAUAAGGGGUUGAACAAAUUACAAAUUUGAAAAAUUAGGUAUUCUUAUUUUAUUUAUUUAUUUUUUUGAAUAGGCUUUUUGUUGAAUAAUUUGCUCACUUGUUGUUUGGUCUAGUUUUGUUUUUGUUUGGGUUAUUUUUGUUGUUAUUUGUGCUAAUUUUUCUUGAUAUUAUUUAAGCCUUUUUCAUUUUGGCUUAAGGGGUUAAUGAUUAUGUUUUGGAAGCCAGAAUUAAUUUUAGAUGAAUGUUAUAUCCAUACCAUUUUUAACAAUAGAUGUUAAAGAGUAUGUUUUGGAGGCCAUAAUAAAUUUUGGAGUAUCUAUAACAUUUUAACAACAAAUCUUAUGUGACAAACUGUUAUUGGUGGGUAAAAAAGUUAUGUCAGUAUUGAGCCCGUAUUAGAAUUAGUAACAACUUAUCACAAAAGAUUUGUUGUGAAAUUAUUGCGAUAAUGUUGUAAAUCCGUAAACGACGGAUACUAGGCGCUAUGCGUAUCGACCCAUGUAGUGUUGUAGCUAACGGGUUAAGUAUCCCGCUUGGGGAGUACGUUCGCAAGAAUGAAACUCAAAGGAAUUGACGGGGGCCCACACAAGCAGUAGAGCAUGUGGUUUAAUUCGAUGCAAAGCGAAGAACCUUACCAGGGCUUAACAUGCUGCGAAUCCUCUUGAAAGAAAGGGGUGCCUUCGGGAACGCGGACACAUGUGGUGCAUGGCUGUCGUCAACUCAUGUCGUAAGGUGUUGAGUUAAGUCCCGCAACGAGUGCAACCCUCCUGUUUAAUUGCCACUGCUGAGUUUGGAACCCUGAGUAGAUUGCUGCCGAUAAGCCAGAGGAAGGUAAGGAUGACGUCAAUUCAUCAUGCCCCUUAUGCCCUGGGCGACACACGUGCUAUAAUGGCCGGGACAAAGGGUCGCGAUCCCGCAAGGGUGAGUUAACCCCAAAAACCCAUCCUCAGUUCGGAUUGUAGGCUGCAACUCGCCUGCAUGAAGCCAGAAUCGCUAGUAAUCGCCGGUCAGCCAUACGGAGGUAAAUUUGCUUUCGAGCCUUGUACACACCGCCCGUUACACUAUGAGAGCUGGCCAUGCUCAAAGUCGUUACCUUAACCACAAGGAGGGGGAUGCCGAAGGCAGGACUAGUGACUAGAGUGAAGUCAUAACAAGAUAGUCGUACUAGAAGGUGCAGCUC